AUACGGAGGGGGCUAGCGUUGUUCGGAAUUACUGGGCGUAAAGCGCGCGUAGGCGGGCUGGUCAGUUGGGGGUGAAAUCCCGAGGCUUAACCUCGGAACUGCCCUCAAUACUGCCAGUCUUGAGUUCGAGAGAGGUGAGUGGAAUUCCUAGUGUAGAGGUGAAAUUCGUAGAUAUUAGGAAGAACACCAGUGGCGAAGGCGGCUCACUGGCUCGAUACUGACGCUGAGGCGCGAAAGCGUGGGGAGCAAACAGGAUUAGAUACCCCAGUAGUCC
rnacentral:rRNA from 1 species